UGUUCUCAUAAAUUAAAAUUGUAUAUUAUUAAUAGCUGAUUUAUUAAUUUUACACUUUUAGUUUGUUCAACGACUUGAAAGUCUUGCUUAAGAGGUGUGAGCAGGUUGCGAUAGAUUACUGGAAACUAACUACGUUCGCAGACUAUAAUCUAAAUAAGCUAUCAUUAAUUUUAGUAUGUGUAGUGGAUACUCCCCAGUACCAAUAAACAUCAGAGACAGCGACCAGGCCCGCAGCGUUUCUGACGCACUUUGGAUGCUGGCAACACUCGAGAUAUAGUGUUUGCGCACGUUUAUAUAAAGCUCGACCGUCCAUUCCUUUAUCAGCGACGUAACCGCAAGCAUCUUACGAGCGGUUUUCCUAAGUUGGAUGGAGCAAACCAAAGGGCCGUCUCGGCCCAUGAACGGUAUCAGGAAUCUUGAUACUAGGUCCGGGAUCCUGCCGGAGGUGGAUAAUUGCAAAUUCCAUUUAGACGACACGUAACCACCGUGCAUCGGCCGUAAGGACGCAUUAGCGAUCAUUGCUGAUUGCACUUUUGCCGCAUAAGAGACCAACGUAAAAAGCCUCGCACAAAAGAUUUUCAAGAUUAACGCCGACCCUUAGUAAGAGUGGGAUCAUCCCCCAUGUGCAUUGCCAGGAAGGAAGGAAGGCUUGGCAUUUGGACGUAAUGUAUGUGCCCGUCGACUCCGCGACCUUUCGGCAGAAGGCGAACCAUAGUGGGUUUAAUGUACGGAUAGGAUGCAGGGGGUGGGGCGAGGGAAGAAAGAGGAGAGACGGUUGAUACGUACGAAACCCUCUGCAUAGUAGUGCAGAGAAGGAAGCCCAUCUCAUAUGCGUUCAGGGGACAAAUUAUUUCCCCAUUUUAUGGCCCGCUAAAAUAUAAAUCAAGUUCUAAAUUAAAUUCCUCACUCCACACGCCUACGUGGCGAACUAUAACGAGCAUACGAGCAUUUUAUAACGCGCGCGCGCGUGCGUGUGUGUGUGUGUGUGUG